rnacentral:rRNA from 1 species
UACGUAGGGGGCAAGCGUUGUCCGGAUUUAUUGGGCGUAAAGAGCGUGUAGGCGGCCUGACAGGUCUGCUGUGAAAACUCGAGGCUCAACCUCGAGAUGUCGGCGGAAACCGUCUGGCUAGAGUCCGGAAGAGGAGAGUGGAAUUCCUGGUGUAGCGGUGAAAUGCGCAGAUAUCAGGAAGAACACCGGUGGCGAAGGCGGGUCUCUGGGCCGAUAUUGACGCUGAGGAGCGAAAGCGUGGGGAGCGAACAGG